UACGUAGGUGGCUAGCGUUAUUCGGAUUUAUUGGGCGUAAAGGGUUCGUAGGCUGUCGUGCAAGUCUGAUGUGAAAUCUCCGGGCUCAACCCGGAAACUGCAUUGGAAACUGCACGACUUGAGUACUGGAGAGGUAAGCGGAAUUCCUGGUGUAGCGGUGGAAUGCGUAGAUAUCAGGAGGAACACCGAUGGCGAAGGCAGCUUACUGGACAGUUACUGACGCUGAGGAACGAAAGCUAGGGGAGCGAACAGG
rnacentral:rRNA from 1 species